rnacentral:rRNA from 1 species
UACGGGGGGGGCAAGCGUUGUUCGGAAUUACUGGGCGUAAAGGGCUCGUAGGCGGCCAACUAAGUCAGACGUGAAAUCCCUCGGCUUAACCGGGGAACUGCAUCUGAUACUGGAUGGCUUGAGAUUGGGAGAGGGAUGCGGAAUUCCAGGUGUAGCGGUGAAAUGCGUAGAUAUCAGGAGGAACACCGGUGGUGUAGACGGCUUACUGGACCAUGACUGACGCUGAGGCACGAAAGCGUGGGGAGCAAACAGG